rnacentral:rRNA from 1 species
UACGUAGGGGGCAAGCGUUGUCCGGAUUCAUUGGGCGUAAAGAGCGUGUAGGCGGCCAGGUAGGUCGGUUGUGAAAACUCGAGGCUCAACCUCGAGAUGUCGGCGGAAACCAUCUGGCUAGAGUCCGGAAGAGGAGAGUGGAAUUCCUGGUGUAGCGGUGAAAUGCGCAGAUAUCAGGAAGAACACCCGUGGCGAAGGCGGCUCUCUGGGACGGUACUGACGCUGAGACGCGAAAGCGUGGGGAGCGAACAGG